rnacentral:tRNA from 1 species
UCCUGGUUAGCUCAGUUGGUAGAGCGCUUCACUGGAUAUGGAGAGAUCCCUGGUUCAAUACCAGAACCAGGCG